rnacentral:piRNA from 1 species
UGAGAAACCCUACAUAUGUAAGGAGUGUGU